UAACUCUGAGAACAGGCUGGGGGCGCUGCAUGGGGCCCCUUCAGAAAACUGCCCCAGGGACCAGCCCCUUCUCCCUGCCUCCCAAAGGCCCUUGCAGCAACUUCCACCCAGGCCCUAUCAGCAUCCUGUUUUCUGUCUCUAGGAGGUUUGAGUUCUGCAGGAAAUGCAGCUGCUCCACGUGGCUGCCAUGAAUUACAGGCUUCAGCCUCUUGAGAAAUUUGUCACCUAUUUCCCAAGAAUGGAGCAGCUCAGUGACAAGGAGAGGCUGCACUGCAGUGUCACCAUCUCUGCUCACUGCAACAUCUGCCUCCUGGACUAAAGCCCUUCCUCAGCCUCCCAAGGAGCUGGGACUACUGCUGUACACCACCAUGUCCGCUAGUUCUGCUGUUGU
rnacentral:sRNA from 1 species